rnacentral:rRNA from 1 species
CACGCCCUAAACGGUGCACACUAGGUCUUGGCGGAUUUGACCCCGCCAGGGCCCAAGCUAACGCGUUAAGUGUGCCGCCUGAGGACUACGGCCGCAAGGCUAAAACUCAAAGGAAUUGACGGGGGCCCGCACAAGCGGUGGAGUAUGUGGCUCAAUUCGAUGCAACGCGAAGAACCUUACCUGGCCUUGACAUGCACUAGACAGACGCUGAAAGGCGUUCUCCCUUCGGGGCUGGUGCACAGGUGC